AUUGAACGCUGGCGGAAUGCUUUACACAUGCAAGUCGAACGGCAGCAUAGGUGCUUGCACCUGAUGGCGAGUGGCGAACGGGUGAGUAAUACAUCGGAACGUGCCCAGUCGUGGGGGAUAACGUAGUGAAAAUUACGCUAAUACCGCAUACGAUCUAUGGAUGAAAGCGGGGGAUCGCAAGACCUCGCGCGAUUGGAGCGGCCGAUAUCAGAUUAGGUAGUUGGUGAGGUAAAGGCUCACCAAGCCGACGAUCUAUAGCUGGUCUGAGAGGAUGAUCAGCCACACUGGGACUGAGACACGGCCCAGACUCCUACGGGAGGCAGCAGUGGGGAAUUUUGGACAAUGGGCGCAAGCCUGAUCCAGCCAUUCCGCGUGCAGGACGAAGGCCUUCGGGUUGUAAACUGCUUUUGUACAGAACGAAAAGGUCUCUAUUAAUACUAGGGGCUCAUGACGGUACUGUAAGAAUAAGCACCGGCUAACUACGUG
rnacentral:rRNA from 1 species